rnacentral:rRNA from 1 species
GACGAACGCUGGCGGCGUGCUUAACACAUGCAAGUCGAACGAUGGAGCUGGAGCUUGCUCCGGUGGAUUAGUGGCGAACGGGUGAGUAACACGUGAGCAAUCUGCCCUUGACUCUGGGAUAACUGCGGGAAACUGUAGCUAAUACCGGAUACUUUCACUGGAAGGCAUCUUCUGGUGAAGAAAGAAUUUCGGUCAAGGAUGAGCUCGCGGCCUAUCAGCUUGUUGGUGAGGUAACGGCUCACCAAGGCGACGACGGGUAGCCGGCCUGAGAGGGUAACCGGCCACACUGGGACUGAGACACGGCCCAGACUCCUACGGGAGGCAGCAGUGGAGAAUAUUGCACAAUGGGCGCAAGCCUGAUGCAGCAACGCCGCGUGAGGGAUGAAGGCCUUCGGGUUGUAAACCUCUUUUAGCAGGGAAGAAGCGAAAGUGACGGUACCUGCAGAAAAAGCACCGGCUAACUACGUGCCAGCCGCCGCGGUAA